rnacentral:rRNA from 1 species
UAAAAACUAGAAUGAAAGGUUAUACAUUCAAAUUUCUUUAUUAAUUUUUAAUAAAUAAUUUAUAUUAAAUAUAAAAAUAUAUUUAUAAAAAAAAAAGACAACAAGACCCUAUUAAAUUUUACUUAUAGUUUAGCUGGGGAAGCUUUUCAAUUAAAAUUUUUUAAAAUCUUAAAAUAAAUAUCUAAUUAAAAUUAAAAUUUAAAUAAAUUACUAUAGGGAUAACAGCAUUAUAUUUUUUAAAAGUUCAUAUUAAAAAAAAAUGAUUGUGACCUCGAUGUUGAAUUAUAUUUUCUAUAUUUAAUGCAAUAAUUAUAAAAGUAGAUCUGUUCGAUCUUUAAAAUAUUACAUGAUUUGAGUUCAAACCGGUGUAAACCAGGUUGGUUUCUAUCUUUUUAUAUAUUUUUCCAGUACGAAAGGACAAAAAAAUUUUUAUUUUAAUAAAUUAGCAAAUAAAUGCAUUAGAUUUAGAAUCUAAAUAUAUUUAA